AGAACGAACGCUGGCGGCAUGCCUAACACAUGCAAGUCGAACGAAGCCUUCGGGCUUAGUGGCGCACGGGUGCGUAACACGUGGGAAUCUGCCCUUAGGUACGGAAUAACUCAGGGAAACUUGAGCUAAUACCGUAUGAUGUCUUCGGACCAAAGAUUUAUCGCCUAGGGAUGAGCCCGCGUCGGAUUAGCUAGUUGGAGGGUAAGCCUACAAGGCGACGAUCCGUAGCUGGUCUGAGAGGAUGAUCAGCCACACUGGGACUGAGACACGGCCCAGACUCCUACGGGAGCAGCAGGUGGGGAAUAUUGGACAAGUGGGACGAAAGCCUGAUCCAGCAAUCGCCGCGUGAGUGAGUGGAAGGUCCGUUAGGUUGUAAAGUCUUACGUUUUAACCCGGGAAGUAUAAUGACGUGGUAACCGGAAGAAGUAACGCCCCGGA
rnacentral:rRNA from 1 species